AUUGAACGCUGGCGGCAGGCCUAACACAUGCAAGUCGAGCGGAGCGGCGGACGGGUGAGUAAUGCCUAGGCAUCUGCCUGGUAGUGGGGGAUAACGUCCGGAAACGGGGGCUAAUACCGCCUAAUAUCAGAUGAGCCUAGGUCGGAUUAGCUGGUGGGUGGGGUAAAGGCCUACCAAGGCGACGAUCCGUAACUGGUCUGAGAGGAUGAUCAGUCACACUGGAAUGGAGCCACGGUCCAGACUCCUACGUGAGGCAGCAGUGGGUAAUAUUAGACAAUUGGCGAAAGCCUGAUCCAGCCAUGCCGCGUGUGUGAAGAAGGUCUUCGGAUUGUAAAGCACUUUAAGUUGGGAGGCGUUACCAACAGAAUAAGCACCGGCUAACUUCGGGCCAGCAGCCGCGGUAAUAC
rnacentral:rRNA from 1 species